GACGUAGGGCGCGAGCGUUGUCCGGAAUUAUUGGGCGUAAAGAGCUCGUAGGCGGCUUGUUGCGUCGGCUGUGAAAACCCGCGGCUCAACCGUGGGCUUGCAGCCGAUACGGGCAGGCUAGAGUUCGGUAGGGGAGACUGGAAUUCCUGGUGUAGCGGUGAAAUGCGCAGAUAUCAGGAGGAACACCGGUGGCGAAGGCGGGGUCUCUGGGGCCGAUACUGACGCUGAGGAGCGAAAAGCGUGGGGAGCGAACAGGAUUAGAUACCCCGGGGU
rnacentral:rRNA from 1 species